rnacentral:rRNA from 1 species
UACAGAGGGGGCAAGCGUUAUUCGGAAUUAUUGGGCGUAAAGGGCGCGUAGGCGGCCUGGCAAGUGGAAGGUGAAAUCCCUCGGCUUAACCGAGGAACUGCCCUCCAAACUGCUUGGCUUGAGUCCGGGAGAGGUGAGUGGAAUUCCCAGUGUAGCGGUGAAAUGCGUAGAUAUGCGGAGGAACACCGAUGGCGAAGGCAAUCCCCUGGGCCUGCACUGACGCUCAUGCACGAAAGCGUGGGGAGCAAACAGG